rnacentral:lncRNA from 1 species
CAAGGGCGUCGACAGGGACAUGGUGCUCCUCUACGCCGCGAGGGCCUCCCGCGUCGAGAACCAGGACGCCAUUGACACCUGCAUCGUCAACAUGCUCGCCGACCCCAAGGAGGCCCGCGCUGGCAUCCAGGAGGUCCACUUCCUCCCCUUCAACCCGGUCGAGAAGCGCACGGCCAUCACCUACAUCGACGGCAACGGCGACUGGCACAGGGUCAGCAAGGGCGCUCCCGAGCAGAUCAUCGAGCUCUGCAACAUGGGCGCCGAGGCCGAGAAGAAGGUCCAUGCCUUGAUCGACGGGUACGCCGACCGCGGCCUCCGGUCGCUCGGCGUGUCGUACCAGCAGGUGCCGGAGAAGAGCAAGGAGAGCGCCGGCGACCCGUGGCAGUUCAUUGGCCUCCUGCCCCUGUUCGACCCGCCGAGGCACGACAGCGCGGAGACCAUCCGCCGCGCGCUCCACCUGGGCGUCAACGUGAAGAUGAUCACCGGCGACCAGCUCGCCAUCGGCAAGGAGACCGGCCGCCGGCUCGGCAUGGGCACCAACAUGUACCCCUCCACCACGCUCCUGGGCGACAAGAACACCACGGUGAACGGCAUGCACAUCGACGAGCUGAUCGAGAAGGCGGACGGCUUCGCUGGGGUCUUCCCCGAGCACAAGUACGAGAUAGUGAAGCGACUCCAGGACCGGAACCACAUCUGCGGCAUGACCGGGGACGGCGUGAACGACGCGCCGGCGCUGAAGAAGGCGGACAUCGGCAUCGCCGUGGACGACGCGACGGACGCGGCCCGGAGCGCGUCGGACAUCGUGCUGACUGAGCCCGGGCUGAGCGUGAUCGUGAGCGCCGUGCUGACGAGCCGCUCCAUCUUCCAGCGCAUGAAGAACUACACCAUCUACGCCGUGUCCAUCACCAUCCGCAUCGUGCUGGGCUUCCUCCUCAUCGCGCUCAUCUGGAAGUUCGACUUCGCGCCCUUCAUGGUGCUCAUCAUCGCCAUCCUCAACGACGGCACUAUCAUGACCAUCUCCAAGGACCGCGUCAAGCCGUCGCCCACCCCCGACUCGUGGAAGCUCAACGAGAUCUUCGCCACCGGCAUCGUGCUCGGCACCUACAUGGCCAUCAUCACCGCCGUCUUCUUCUACCUCGCCCACGACACCGACUUCUUCACGGUACACACACACCUACCCACUGCCAUUGCCAUUGACAGGUCGAGAUCCAGGGCGGUCCUUGCAAAGGUCGUAGCAAGCUCGCUCACCCAGCAGCCAUUCCAUUUCCACGCGAUAUGAUCGACGCAGGACGUGUUCGGCGUGAAUUCGAUCAAGGAGAACGACAGGGAGCUGAUGGCGGCGCUGUACCUCCAAGUAAGCAUCAUCAGCCAGGCGCUCAUCUUCGUGACGCGGUCCCGGAGCUGGUCGUUCGUGGAGCGGCCGGGCUUCCUCCUGCUCUUCGCCUUCUUCGCCGCCCAGCUGGUGGCGACGUGCAUCGCGGUGUACGCCGACUGGGACUUCUGCCGCAUCCAGGGGAUCGGCUGGGCGUGGGGCGGCGCCAUCUGGAUGUUCAGCAUCGUCACCUACAUCCCGCUCGACGUGCUCAAGUUCAUGAUCCGCGCCGCGCUCAGAGACAAGGCCACGGGCAACAACGUCCACAACAAGGCAAGCCUCGCCACUCCCAGUCAAACUGCUCCAUUGUUGCGGUCUACUCUACCUUGACCUUGAGCUGACGAUUACGAAGUCUUGAUCGGUUGCCUUGCCAUUGUGUCUCUGUCUGUGUCUUGUCGUCUCCAGUGAUACGUUUAUCUGGGUGCUUGUCGCGGACGGCGUUUAGGAACAAGGACUGCGGCAAGGGCCGGCGAUCGCGAGGCACAGUGGGCGGUAGAGCAGAGACACUCCACGGGCCUCAACCAGCUCGCCACCACCUCCUCCUCCGACCUUCUAGGCAGCAAGGACUAGCAUGCAGUCCGAGCUCACCGAGGAGGCCCGCAAAGGUCGCAAGAUAUACGUAGCUACAGUCUUCUCCGGCGACUAGCCCACCAUCUCUAGCGCCGCUGAUGCGGCUGAUCUCGCUGGUCUCCAGAGACCGACGGCGUCCAGCGGUGGCCGGAGGAGUCCUGUGUUCUUCGUUUCCUUAGGUGUACUUAUGUGGGUUUUGGGGUGGCAAGAGAGUUUUUUUUUUGUGAACUCUGGUGUAUCGGAUCAAGUGAAUAUGUACCUACAUGUUGUGUUCUUAAUUCUGCAUUGUACAGCUAUACACUAUACAAGGGUACGGGAAUGCUGAGGUGUAACUUCCAUGCAAUAUACUUAGUUGUAUUCAUCUAAUCAUCAAACUGCCAGCAACUUUUUAUUUACUUCACUUAUUUGGAGUUAUGUGUAAUGGAGUCAUAGUAGGCCUGUUUGUUUCGC